UAUCACAAUUGCAGAAUACUGAUGGUUUUUAUCAAAGAACUAACUUUAGUCAAAAGGUUAACUAAGGGAGUGUAGACCCAGAUAGCACCGUACAUCCCAGGGACGUCCGUUUCAUGUCCAGAUUAUGUCCGAACGUCCAACGUCCAUUUUGAACAUCCUUGGGAUGUCCACAAGACGUAUAUGUAUUUCGUAUGUCCUAGGAACGUCCGUCUUGAAAGUCCUACGGACGUCCGUAAGGCGAACGUUUCGUAUGUCCUAGGAACGUCCGUCUUGAAGGUCCUACGGACAUAGAUGAGACGUAUGUCCAAAAUAGGGUAGAAUGACCCUACGUCACCCGCGCGGCGAGAGCGACCGAAGUUUGGGGCCUGCUGUUUUAUGACAAGGCCUAAACAGAAAACAGAUCCCGGGCGCUGACAAACGAUUGGCGGAAUUCCCAACUUGAGAAUAUGACGAGCCACCAUCGACACUUUUUCGUGAAACGCUGUUGCGACAAGACGUAUAGCGAGUCUCCAUACACUUUGAGUGUGAAUUUCAAGCGUUGACGAUCGUCAUAUUACGAGUGAAUAUUAGUAUUCCUUACUGGUGUUUAUAGUGUGUUGACGAGUUUUUCUGCCACCUCAGACGCAGCACAAACAUCAAAAGUGUGCAAAGAUAAGAAAGAAACGGAGGUGUCCAUACCGUCUUGGCUAAGGAGAGCUGCGGAACGCAACAAGAUCAUUGUAAAAGAUUUUUAGUAGAAAUAAUAAAAUAAAUAAUAGAUAUGUAAUAAAAA